rnacentral:rRNA from 1 species
AUUGAACGCUGGCGGCCGGCCUAACACAUGCAAAUCGAGCGGAUGAGGGAAGCUUGCUUCCCGAUUUAGCGGCGGACGGGGGAGUAAUGCCUAGGAUUCUGCCUAUGAGUGGGGGAUAACGUUCCGAAAGGAACGCUAAUACCGCCUACGUCCUACGGGAGAAAGGCGGGGAUCGUCGGACCUCACGCUACUAGAUGAGCCUAGGUCGUAUUAGCUAGUUGGUGGGGUAACGGCUCACCAAGGCGACGAUCCGUAGCUGGUCUGGGAGGAUGCUCCGCCACACUGGAGCUGAGACACGGUCCAGACUCCUACGGGAGGCAGCAGUGGGGAAUAUUGGACAAUGGGCGAAAGCCUGAUCCAGCCAUGCCGCGUGUGUGAAGAAGGUCUUCGGAUUGUAAAGCACUUUAAGUUGGGAGGAAGGGUUGUAAGCUAAUAUCUUGCAGCUUUGACGUUACCAACAGAAUAAGCACCGGCUAACUCUGUGCCAGCAGCCGCAGUAA